rnacentral:rRNA from 1 species
AAUCAUGGCUCAGAUUGAACGCUGGCGGCAGGCCUAACACAUGCAAGUCGAACGGUAACAGGAAGAAGCUUGCUUCUUUGCUGACGAGUGGCGGACGGGUGAGUAGUGUCUGGGAAACUGCCUGAUGGAGGGGGAUAACUACUGGAAACGGUAGCUAAUACCGCAUAACGUCGCAAGACCAAAGAGGGGGACCUUCGGGCCGUCUUGCCAUCGGAUGUGCCCAGAUGGGAGUUAGCUAGUAGGUGGGGG